rnacentral:rRNA from 1 species
CCUACGGGAGGCAGCAGUGAGGAAUAUUGGUCAAUGGACGAGAGUCUGAACCAGCCAAGUAGCGUGAAGGAUGACUGCCCUAUGGGUUGUAAACUUCUUUUAUAAAGGAAUAAAACGAGGCACGUGUGCCUUUUUGCAUGUACUUUAUGAAUAAGGAUCGGCUAACUCAGUGCCAGCAUCCGCGGUAAUACGGAGGAUCCGAGCGUUAUCCGGAUUUAUUGGUUUUAAAGGGAGCGUAGAUGGGUUGUUAAGUCAGUUGUUAAAGUUUGCGGCUCAACCGUAAAAUUGCAAUUGAUACUGGCAGUCUUGAGUACAGUUGAGGUAGGCGGAAUUCGUGGUGUAGCGGUGAAAUGCUUAGAUAUCACGAGGAACCCCGAUUGCGAAGGCAGCUUAAUAAACUGUGACUGACAUUGAUGCUCGAAAGUGUGGGUAUCAAACAGGAUUAGAUACCCGAGUAGUC